rnacentral:rRNA from 1 species
AAACUAGGGAUAGAUAACCUAUUAUUAAAAAUGUAAAUUUUUUUACUUAAUUAGUAUUAGUUAUGUUCUUGAAAAUUAAAAAAUUUGGCGGUAUUUUAGUCUUUUCAGAGGAACCUGUUCUAUAAUCGAUAGUCCACGAUUAGAUGCACUUUAUUUAUUAGUUUAUAUAUCGUCGUAGUUUAAAUAUUUUAAUAGAAUUAUAAAUAUUUAAAAUUUUUUAUUAAAAAAUAAAUCAGAUCAAGGUGUAGUUUAUAAUAAAGAAGAAAUGGGUUACAAUAAAUUUAUUUUAAAAUAAUUUUUGUUAAAAAAAUUUGAAUUUGGAUUUGAGAGUAAUUUUUUAGAUUUUUUUAAGAUGAUUAAAGCUCUAAAAUAUGUACAUAUCGCCCGUCGCUUUCAUUUUAAAAUGAAAUAAGU